CCUACGGGUGGCAGCAGUGAGGAAUAUUGGUCAAUGGCCGAGAGGCUGAACCAGCCAAGUCGCGUGAGGGAAGACGGCCCUACGGGUUGUAAACCUCUUUUGUCGGGGAGCAAAGCGAACCUCGUGUGGGUUAUCGAGAGUACCCGAAGAAAAAGCAUCGGCUAACUCCGGGCCAGCAGCCGCGGUACUACGGAGGAUGCGACCGUUAUCCGGAUUUAUUGGGUUUAAAGGGUGCGCAGGCGGGGGUGCAAGUCAGCGGUCAAAUUGCGGGGCUCAACCCCGUACUGCCGUUGAAACUGCAUCCCUUGAGUGCGCGAGAAGUAUGCGGAAUGCGUGGUGUAGCGGUGAAAUGCAUAGAUAUCACGCAGAACUCCGAAUGCGAAGGCAGCAUACCGGCGCGCAACUGACGCUCAUGCACGAAAGCGUGGGUAUCGAACAGGAUUAGAUACCCCUGUAGUC
rnacentral:rRNA from 1 species